GCCGCCGCCGAGACCUCCUCUAUGGCCGGCGACCUUGGAGCCGCCCCAACCCCAGCAACCCGGAUUCAUAAGGCCGCCGCCGCCCUCCACCACCCCGGCCGCCGGCGACCUCACCGGCGGCUGCUCCGCCCACCAUCCACCCAUUCCCGACCCCCCUCCCCCCUCCCCCUCCCCUAGCUGGCUAGCUCACCGGCUGUCGCGCCCCCUCCCCUGCCGGAGGUGGAAGAUGAACAUGGGCAAGCGCUGCUGCGAUUGGGCGGAGAAAAAUCAUGCGCGCGAUAAAAUAGAAAUUCCGGGCCGCUGCCCCUGCAGCCCCUCCAACGCCGACUGCAAGAGCAGGUGACCCUUUGUGCCCACCAUCGUCGAGUGCUAAUCCAUCUCCGCCUCCAUUUUCCUCCAUGUUACUUCUAUUGUUUUCUAGCUGCUAUGUUUUUCUCCAUUUGUGCAAAUCUAAAACAAAUCAGUCAGGUGAAGAUUCAUCCAUGCGCAGCAAUCAGUCCCUACAGAUGAAGAAGGUUCAAGUGCGGAAAGGCCUUGCACAGAAAGAAGAUGGGUCAAAGAAAAUUAUACUUGCAGUAUUACUUGGACUUUUGCCAUUAUAUAUGGAGGAGAAGAUUAAUUGGUGGUAUUCUUGUUUGUCUGGCCAUGUAUCUGAAUAGGAUUAAAUCAAGAAAAAGAAGGGCUAUAACUUAUGCUCCCAUGAAAGAUAGAGAUGUUGAUAGAUUGACACGUCUAAAUCGUUUGUAUCAUGGUACUGAUGCCCAUUGCAUAAGUGAAUUACGUAUGAGGAAAGCUAUCUUUCAUAAACUAUGUGACGGACUUAUAUCUUUCAUAAACUAUGUGACGGACUUAGAUCACGUGCGUUGCUAGAGGACACUUUUCAUGUGACAAUAGAGGAACAAGUUGCCAUGUUUAUCCAUUGUGUUGGGCACCAUUGGUCAAAUAGAUCAAUUGGUUUCAAGUUCAUGAGGUCAAGAGAAAAUGUUAGUAGGUAUUUUCAUCAUGCUUUACAUGCCCCUUUGUACCCUUGCUUGUGACCUCAUAUGCAUCAGAUCUAUUGAGACACAUUCAAAGAUAACAAGUUCUCCCAACAAAUUUCACCCUUAUUUUGAGGAAAAUCAAAAUUUCAAUGUUUUGAAAAAAACAAAUAUUUUUGUAGGGUUGAAUAGGAGCCUUGGAUGGUACACAUAUACCAGCCUCUGUACCUUUCCAUAUGCAAGAUCAGUUUAGGGGUAGAAAAUCAAUUACCAGCCAAAAUGUGCUAGCAGCAGUUGAUUUUGACCUAAGAUUCAUAUAUGUUCUUGCCGGAGGGAGGCUCAGCCCAUGAUUCUUUUGUGCUUCAAGAUGCUCUAUCAAGUGGACCGUCACUAUAGGUACCACAAAAAAAUUGCAAGUACAUUGCAACAACUUUGAGGAACAGUGGCAACAUAUUUGAUUAAACCAGAUGCAUUGUACUAUUUUAGAAUCUGAAAAAGUAGAAUUAACUGGAAGUUCAUUGUGAAUAUUUUUUUUAAUUAUUCUAUUUUAGAAUCUGAAAUCAAAUCACUAGUUCGCAUUAUAUGAAAUCAAUUUCAUUGUUCACAUGACUGUAGGACAGAGCAAGACACCUGCUUGCUAAGCCCAUCAAGUUCUUGUAUGAGAUGAGAGAACUAUUCAUAGGAUCCAAUGUAGAUGGACCUUUGGUUAUGGACCAGAACACAUGCAUGGAUGCUAAUGAUGGCUCAGAUAGUGACGAUUCAAUAGAACUAAUUAACCUCAAUUGCUACACACAGCCUGAAGAGCUAGAAGUGAGGAUUUAGACACUUAGCCAACUCCAACGAGAAAUGCUGUAUAUUCAGAUUUCACUGAUCACUUCUAGAGGAACCGUCCAAGAGCCAAUAACUCACUUCGAGAGGAAGCAUCCAAGAAGGCAAGAAAAAAGAGUCGUUUUGGAGAUUCCACUGAUGAAACAACUGCUACAAUGAAGUCACUUCGGGAAACACUUGCUGCCACUGCCCCUCCCCAAAUGCCACAGGUUACUAAUCCUCAUGCAGUAUUAUGGAAAAAACUGGAGGCAAUCCCAAUGACUCCAGAUCAGAGGGUUCUUAUUGGUGAACAUUUGUGAUCCACAAAGGAGAAUAAAGGUAAGCGUGGCUGGUUGUGUAAUGCAAGUGCUGAUACUCUGCAUGCUUGGGUACGGUGUUCAAUUAUGUGACAACUGACAAGGAUGGAAUUAACCUGUGAAGCUUAGCUUGCGAGAGUGGUUGUUCGUAUUUUGUGAUCUGCCCAAGAACUUGGCUGUGUGCUUAUUUUGGUUGUUCUGGGCUUAGGAUGUAUAAUAUAGUUGGAUGUUUGGUCAUUUGCUUUGUCAUACUGAUCCAUGCAUGGCUGGCUUCUUAUUUUGUAACUAAUACUUUAAUCUGAAUCUCCUUGGCCUAACCUCCUAGAAUAUAUUUAUUUAUGAAACUUGUCUUUCAUGCUUGUAAUAUUGUUCAAGCAUGUCAGGUUGUCA